rnacentral:rRNA from 1 species
GGAGAGCUUGCUCUCUGAUGGCGAGUGGCGAACGGGUGAGUAACACGUGGGAACAUACCUCAUAGUACGGAAUAACUGCGGGAAACUGUAGCUAAUACCGUAUAUUCCAGUAAUGGGAAAGAUUUAUCGCUAUGAGAUUGGCCCGCGCAAGAUUAGCUUGUUGGUAAGGUAAUGGCUUACCAAGGCUCCGAUCUUUAGCUGGUUUGAGAGGACGACCAGCCACACUGGGACUGAGACACGGCCCAGACUCC